GUGAUUUUCAUUAACUUAAUUUUGUAAAUACUACUCAAGAACAGCAUGAAGGACAUCAGGAGAAGGGAAAAAUGAAGGGGAGAAAUCAGAGUGGGAGACAAACCAUGAAAGACUAUGGCCUCUGGGAAACAAAUGGAGAGUAUUAAAAGAAAUAAAGGAGAAGACAGAAGCAGAAAAAUGUGGAGGAAGUGAAGAGGGAACAGAUGGAAGCAAAAUAUAAGGAAGAAGAGGAAAAAGUGGAAGAACUUGAAAGUCUCUCAGGAAAUGACACAUUUUCA
rnacentral:lncRNA from 1 species